GCCUGGGUGGCUCAGUUGGUUGAGCAUCUGACUUUGGCUCAGGUUGUGAUCGCGAUUUGUGGGUUCAAGCCCCGCAUUGGGCU